rnacentral:rRNA from 1 species
ACGGAAGGCAGCAGUGGGGAAUAUUGGACAAUGGGGGAAACCCUGAUCCAGCGACGCCGCGUGAGUGAAGAAGUAUUUCGGUAUGUAAAGCUCUAUCAGCAAGGAAGAAAAUGACGGUACUUGACUAAGAAGCUCCGGCUAAAUACGUGCCAGCAGCCGCGGUAAUACGUAUGGAGCAAGCGUUAUCCGGAUUUACUGGGUGUAAAGGGAGCGUAGACGGCAAAGCAAGUCUGAAGUGAAAUGCCGGGGCUUAACCCCGGAACUGCUUUGGAAACUGUUUAGCUAGAGUGUCGGAGAGGUAAGUGGAAUUCCUAGUGUAGCGGUGAAAUGCGUAGAUAUUAGGAGGAACACCAGUGGCGAAGGCGGCUUACUGGACGAUAACUGACGUUGAGGCUCGAAAGCGUGGGGAGCAAACAGGAUUAGAUACCCUGGUA